GCCAGUCCCUUGUUCGGUACAAAAAAAAUAAAAAAAAGUGUAGCAUAAUUUCAGUGCCCAUGAGUCUUAUAAGGCAUCUGUGACUUUGGCAUUUUAAUGUAAACACUGCCUUUUCAGAGAAAAGCACUGUUUACAUUGCCCCCUAGGGACACCUCCAGUGGCCACACCUCGCUCUGCAUGGAGACGCUGAACUUUCCUCAGAGAUGCAUUGAUUCAAUGCAUCGGUAUGAAGAUGUGCUGAUUGGCCAAAUUUUUUGUUUGGCCCCACCCCGCCUCCAUGCUGAUUUCAGCCAAUCCAAUGCUUUUCCUUGGCUGAAAUCCUAAAUUCUGAUGCUGUCCGCAAGGAGGCUUUUCGAGGUCGGGGCUAGAGCUGGCGGACCUGCGUGGCGCUGGAAAUAAGGUAAAUUUUCUUACCUUUUAAUGGUGGUUUUAACAUUAUAGGGUCAGGAAUACAUGUUUGUGUUCCUGACCCUACAGUGUUCCUUUAAAAGUCCACUAAAAUGUCCCAGACCACUUUAUCUCAAGGAAAUGGUUUGGGUGCUGUGGUCC